UAUCCAUCUCCUCUUUCCCCUUUACGAUCAUGGAGGAGAAAAAAUCGGGGUGAAUCUGGUGGUUGGUUAAUCUCAAUCCCCAUACUUCCCACUGAAUACUAUAAUUGUGGGAGUGAAGGUUCGAGAAAGCAAACCCAAGUUUCCCCACCAAUUCAGUUUUUUUUUUCUUUUUCUUUUUUUUUCCAAUUUCCCAUUUUCUAUUUUCUGUUCCCCUUAUUCCCCCAAUUUUCUUUGUUCCGGAGAAAUCAAUUCCCUCAGAGAAACCCUGGAAGAGAAAGCGGUACAAUUUCAUGAUGGUAAGUUCGGUUUUUAUCCUUGAUUUAUGAAUCUAACAAACCCAGAUUGUUUGGUUUCUUAGGGUUUUGGUUACCUGUUGCAUAUCAUGACAUUAGAAUUUAGGUUGUAAAAGGUGGAAGGGGAAGAUUGGAUCCUCAUUGCAACGCUGUAUGAUUUGUUGAUAGGAGAUCGUUCAUUGCUCAGUGGAGUCUUCUUGAUCGUAACUUCUAGUCAACGCGACGAAGGAACACAAGCUUGUAAGAUCACCAAAGUUGCAGGAGAACCAAGUAAAAUAAGGAGCUCAGAGAGUACAAAAUAUGAGCAUUUUCUAGAUUGGAGCAGGCUGUGACCAGCAAUCCUGGAUGCAGUUGCUGAGUUUUAGAGAGCCAAGAAACUGCUGCUCUUCUGAAUUGAAGCAUAAGCAUAUGAAGCUCACUAGGUACAUUGUUUGUGAAUUUUGAGAACUGUUUGGUCGAUCUAUACUAUAUUAUGCGUAAUCAUAAGAAAAAGAUUCCUUCAAGUUUUAUAGGACAAUAAGAGACAGAUCUAGCAGUUGAACAUUAUUUGUCAGAAAAUGUGGGAGUUCGAGUGCAACUGCUUGUGAAGUACCUAGUUGGAGUGUCGCAGGCUCAUAGGUUGCAGAAGUAAAGAGUUUACGUCUUUUGAUGUAUUCCACAUCUCCAUGCGUUAUACACAAGACAGCAACAAACUUGAAUUUGAAAGUUUCUGACGACAAGCUGGGAUUUCUGGAUAUCUUACUAAUUCAAGUACUUUCAGCAUUUUAUAGAGAUAUAUUCAUCAAUUUCUUUUUUGUUUGUGUUAACAGUAUGUUAUACUAAUUUAUGGAAUAUCGAGGAACUGGGGGCUCCUAAACUGCACUCAAAAUCUAUAAACUUUGUAAUUUCAGACGGGAAAUUUCACUUUGUAAAUAUAUUGUUUGGUUUUGAAUC